UACGUAGGGGGCAAGCGUUAUCCGGAUUUACUGGGUGUAAAGGGAGCGUAGGCGGUUCAGCAAGUCAGAAGUGAAAGCCCGGGGCUCAACUCCGGGACUGCUUUUGAAACUGUUGAACUAGAUUGCAGGAGAGGUAAGUGGAAUUCCUAGUGUAGCGGUGAAAUGCGUAGAUAUUAGGAGGAACACCGAUAGCGAAGGCAGCUUACCAGACUGAGUCUGACGCUGAUGCACGAGAGCAUGGGUAGCGAACAGG
rnacentral:rRNA from 1 species